UGCGUGUGUCUAGUUGUUACUUGGUUCUA
rnacentral:piRNA from 1 species